rnacentral:rRNA from 1 species
UACGUAGGGUGCAAGCGUUGUCCGGAAUUAUUGGGCGUAAAGAGCUUGUAGGCGGUUUGUCGCGUCUGCUGUGAAAAUCCGGGGCUCAACCCCGGACUUGCAGUGGGUACGGGCAGACUAGAGUGUGGUAGGGGAGACUGGAAUUCCUGGUGUAGCGGUGAAAUGCGCAGAUAUCAGGAGGAACACCAAUGGCGAAGGCAGGUCUCUGGGCCACUACUGACGCUGAGAAGCGAAAGCAUGGGGAGCGAACAGG